rnacentral:tRNA from 2 species
CGCGGGGUGGAGCAGUCUGGUAGCUCGUCGGGCUCAUAACCCGAAGGUCGCAGGUUCAAAUCCUGCCCCCGCUACGA